UACGAAGGGGGCUAGCGUUGUUCGGAUUUACUGGGCGUAAAGCGCACGUAGGCGGAUCGUUAAGUCGGGGGUGAAAUCCUGGAGCUCAACUCCAGAACUGCCCUCGAUACUGGCGAUCUUGAGUCCGGAAGAGGUGAGUGGAACUCCUAGUGUAGAGGUGGAAUUCGUAGAUAUUAGGAAGAACACCAGUGGCGAAGGCGGCUCACUGGUCCGGUACUGACGCUGAGGUGCGAAAGCGUGGGGAGCAAACAGG
rnacentral:rRNA from 1 species